ACGUACACUCCUGCGGGAGGCAGCAGUGGGGAAUAUUGGACAAUGGGCGCAAGCCUGAUCCAGCCAUGCCGCGUGAGUGAUGAAGGCCCUAGGGUUGUAAAGCUCUUUUGUGCGGGAAGAUAAUGACGGUACCGCAAGAAUAAGCCCCGGCUAACUUCGUGCCAGCAGCCGCGGUAAUACGAAGGGGGCUAGCGUUGCUCGGAAUCACUGGGCGUAAAGGGUGCGUAGGCGGGUCUUUAAGUCAGGGGUGAAAUCCUGGAGCUCAACUCCAGAACUGCCUUUGAUACUGAAGAUCUUGAGUUCGGGAGAGGUGAGUGGAACUGCGAGUGUAGAGGUGAAAUGCGUAGAUAUUCGCAAGAACACCAGUGGCGAAGGCGGCUCACUGGCCCGAUACUGACGCUGAGGCACGAAAGCGUGGGGAGCAAACAGGAUUAGAUACCCUUGUAGUCCCA
rnacentral:rRNA from 1 species